UACGGAGGGGGCUAGCGUUGUUCGGAAUUACUGGGCGUAAAGCGCACGUAGGCGGCUUUGUAAGUUAGAGGUGAAAGCCCGGGGCUCAACUCCGGAAUUGCCUUUAAGACUGCAUCGCUAGAAUUGUGGAGAGGUAAGUGGAAUUCCGAGUGUAGAGGUGAAAUUCGUAGAUAUUCGGAAGAACACCAGUGGCGAAGGCGACAUACUGGUCCGUUACUGACGCUGAGGCUCGGAAAGCGUGGGGAGCAAACAGG
rnacentral:rRNA from 1 species